rnacentral:rRNA from 1 species
GCGCCCAAAGGUUCCCUCAGAAUGGACGGAAACCAUUCGAAGAGUGCAAAGGCAGAAGGGAGCUUGACUGCGACACCGACGGGUGGAGCAGGUACGAAAGUAGGGCUUAGUGAUCCGGUGGUAUUAAGUGGGAAUGCCAUCGCUCAACGGAUAAAAGCUACCCUGGGGAUAACAGGCUUAUCACUCCCAAGAGUUCACAUCGACGGAGUGGUUUGGCACCUCGAUGUCGGCUCAUCGCAUCCUGGGGCUGUAGUAGGUCCCAAGGGUUGGGCUGUUCGCCCAUUAAAGCGGUACGCGAGCUGGGUUCAGAACGUCGUGAGACAGUUCGGUCCCUAUCCGGCGUGGGCGUAGGAUAUCUGAGAGGAGCUGUCCUUAGUACGAGAGGACCGGGAUGGACGGACCGCUGGUGGACCGGUUGGCUUGCCAAAGCCAUGGCCGGGUAGCCAAGUCCGGAAGGGAUAAACGCUGAAGGCAUCUAAGCGUGAAGCCCCCCUCAAGAUGAGAUAUCCCAUUCUUUAAGAAGUAAACCCCCUUGAAGACGACGAGGUAGAUAGGGCAGAGGUGGAAGUGUGGUAACACAUGGAGCUGACUGUUACUAAUCGGGUGAGGGCUUGACCAA